rnacentral:rRNA from 1 species
UACGAAGGGUGCAAACGUUGCUCGGAAUUAUUGGGCGUAAAGCGCACGUAGGCGGCUUUGCAAGUCCCAUGUGAAAUCCCACGGCUUAACCGUGGAAGUGCAUGGGAAACUGCAGAGCUCGAGUACUUAAGAGGAUCGCGGAAUUCCCGGUGUAGAGGUGAAAUUCGUAGAUAUUCGGAAGAACACCAGUGGCGAAGGCGACUUACUGGACACAUACUGACGCUGAGGUGCGAAAGCGUGGGGAGCAAACAGG